rnacentral:rRNA from 1 species
GAUGAACGCUGGCGGCGUGCCUAAUACAUGCAAGUCGAGCGAACAGAUGAGGAGCUUGCUCCUCUGACGUUAGCGGCGGACGGGUGAGUAACACGUGGAUAACCUACCUAUAAGACUGGGAUAACUUCGGGAAACCGGAGCUAAUACCGGAUAAUAUAUUGAACCGCAUGGUUCAAUAGUGAAAGACGGUUUUGCUGUCACUUAUAGAUGGAUCCGCGCCGCAUUAGCUAGUUGGUAAGGUAACGGCUUACCAAGGCAACGAUGCGUAGCCAACCUGAGAGGGUGAUCGGCCACACUGGAACUGAGACACGGUCCAGACUCCUACGGGAGGCAGCAGUAGGGAAUCUUCCGCAAUGGGCGAAAGCCUGACGGAGCAACGCCGCGUGAGUGAUGAAGGUCUUCGGAUCGUAAAACUCUGUUAUUAGGGAAGAACAAAUGUGUAAGUAACUAUGCACGUCUUGACGGUACCUAAUCAGAAAGCCACGGCUAACUACGU